rnacentral:lncRNA from 1 species
GCCACCAAAACAGUUAGAUAUUUCUGUUCAAAUCAACAUGUUCGAAACACUCAAGACUUUCGUAACCCAGACACCAUUAAGACCAUCAAUAUUGGAGUAACCAGUACAAUAAAUGAUCCAGUUUAACUUCUGAUAAGACCCUGUCAUCGGCUUGCACCAACUACAGAUUUGACCUCAGGAGAGCACCAACUUAGAUACCAUGGAACUAUUACAGAUUGCACUUCAACAUAAUAAAAAUAAAAACCACUCAGUACCCAAUGAUCCAGGUAACAGCUUGUCUUUGCCUCUACUGCAACUAGAAGCGCCCAGUCAUCACAUGAGAUUUACAUUAACACAAAAAGGAACGCCAACUGUCUUGACACUUCCAAGACAAGGCAUAUACCUGAUUACUAGAAGUACCAAAGCACCAAAUAACAACAGCACUUUCAAGUAUCAGAAUGAGAUAAAAAAAACAGCUACAAGGUAAUCAUGACAGAAUAAAAUAUCAAUUUAAUAGAAAAAGGUCAAGAAAGAGGAUGACUUCAUUGUUCCAGUUUGCAGAAGUUGGGAAAAGGGUGAUGCAGAAAUAGGACUACAUAUUGAUUCAAGCAAAACCAAAACACUCAGAUUGAAACAGACAGGACAAAAUCACAGAACCAUGGAUGAAUAGUACAAUGAACAGUACCACACAAGACACAAAAGAAGAGAGAGCAACAGGCAUCCCUGUUUUGUUUCACAACUAAAGCUAUCCAGAUAAACUACCUGCAUAAGAGGGAAUGGGAUCCCAUUUUACUGCAUAUCUUCCGUGAUAUUUCCUCAUAUUUUUCAUGUCAGAGAGGUCACUUGGCCAUCAUGACUUUGACAAAUUCCUCAUAGUUGAUCUGGCCGUCACCAUCAACAUCAGCCUCACGGAUCAUCUCGUCAACCUCCUCAUCUGUCAGCUUCUCACCAAGGUUGGUCAUGACAUGGCGGAGCUCAGCAGCUGAGAUGAAGCCAUUCUGAUCCUUGUCAAACACUCGGAAGGCCUCCUUGAGUUCCUCCUCUGAGUCAGUAUCCUUCAUCUUACGGGCCAUCAGGUUGAGGAAUUCUGGGAAGUCAAUAGUUCCAUUGCCAUCAGCAUCAACCUCAUUUAUCAUGUCCUGCAACUCUGCCUCAGUUGGAUUCUGCCCCAGUGACCGCAUCACAGUUCCCAACUCCUUAGUCGUGAUGCAACCUGUUCAAAUUUCACCCAAAACAAACUGCACUUCUAAGAUUUUAUUUUCCUAACAAAGUUUGACACAAGCAGAUUCAGCACCUGCUAGCUGCUUAUCGGCAUCCACUAUAUCAUUCAGUUAAACAAUUAAAAACAAAAACUGCAACCUUGUGUUCUAUCUCCAAAGCAAUCCAUAAUGCUUUGGGGUUAGAGCAUCACCUACCAUAUUAACAAACUAAUGAUUGCAAAUCUAGCACAACUGAAACAUAGACAGAACAUGUUUAAAAUAACACCGAAUUCACAAAUCCAUCUUUUAGCAAGAAUAUACAAGAUUGAACAGCAAGAAUUCACCUCCAAUGUCGGCAAUUCACUAUUUCGUAUUAUAGGUAUCAUAAUCUUUCAUAAAAAGAAAACUUGCUUAUACAUCAUGGACCCCUUAAAACCUCCUAAGAAAGGUUCUGUUAUAACAAAGCCCACCAUGAAUACUACUUCUGGAGAUGUACUAACAUCUCUGAAACAAGAUAAAUACUUAGCUGAAGAAUAUUGUGAAUUCUAGCAAGAGAUGCCCCUCUCAGUUGCGGGAUUGCAGGGACCCUGUUUGCAACUUAAAACUACUCACAAGCUACAGCUAAACGGUGACUUAAUUUCAUUAACUGUUAUGGCCUGACUCAUUCAGAAAUAAUAGCUGAGAGAUUGCAACUACAAAGGCGUUUUUUCAGGUAAAGACCCACAAACUACAAAUUGCUUUUCAACUUGCAAUAACAUAUAUUGAACGAUGCACAAAGCCCCAAGGCAUGAAUGCCUGAAUAGGACCAGCCAUAAAUAAUUAGAGCCUAUACAAAAAUUUCUACCGCAAAUGCCAACCACUACUCAAAAAGGCCGACACUGGGCAUCCAAAGUCCAAUGAAGCAGAACGAGAAAGUGCGAUGACAAGGACUUCAUUGAUCAAACAAUAAAUAACAUGCAUACAAUCAUCAAACGAAUAUCCAAACCGAGUUCGGGACUUCAGGCAGCUCUUUCCAAAAUAUAUAUCUUACUUAUCCUUUCUCAAGCAAGAAAGCCAUCAAACGAGUAAAAGCUACAAUGAUUCACAACCAAGCAGUAAAACACUUCACUUCUACUACCUAACACUGCAAGUUAGAUCGAAAAGUCUGAAAGUUGCACCAAAGAGCAAAAAAAAAAUCUGCUUCAAAAUGAAAGAAGGAAAAUGACCAAGAGUGGUGCUACCCAGAUCGGAUGAGGGCAGACCAUGAAGACCAAACUUUUCCUCAAAAAAAUCCCCAACGACUGAAGCAAUUGAACACCCUACCCUAGCGAGAGAUAGCUGGGUCACAAGUUGUCUUCUUCUGAAAGAUGGGAUGGGGAUCAACUCCAAAGCCAGAUGACGGAAUGAGGAGACCUAGGAUGUAGAAGAUUGAUAGGCAGGAGGACAGCCUCACUCUCUCUCUCCCUCUCUAGUUCUGAUUCGAUAGAAUGCAAACAAAAAAGCCUAAAAACAAUUUCCAUUGGAAAAAGCUAUCAUUGUGAAACUUCUUGUAAAGAAAUCUAGGAAAAUACCAUCCUGGCAUUCUCACAAUACCUUGGCAAUCAGCUAACACCAAAGCUGGAAUUGGUGCAGCUGACUGUCUUGUCAUAAAUCACUUACUUCUCCUUGCAGAAGCUCAUGUUAUCCUAAACCAAUCAUCUAGUGUUUAAGCAACAUCCAUCAAAUGUAUGAAGGUAUAUUGGUAAAAAUUCUAGUCCACUGAUCUCACAUACUCUACAUCCAACAUCCAUUACAUGUUAUAUAAUGCACACUGUAUUCAUACAUAACAGCAACAGUUGGCCUAAAAUUUUCUGCUUGAUCUUUGAGCUACCUUAACAAAGUGCACAAAAAUCAAAUCACAAUGAUACCUUCACAUGACAUGGUGGGAACAUGUCAAGUCGGAAUCGGUCAUUUUAUGAUAUAUUACAUCAUGUUGCUUUAAUACUUAGAUUUUCAAUUGGUCAAUCAUGACCCACUAAAUGUGAACUUUGCACAUGCAUACUCAAACCUUAAUUCAGAAGAAGCAUUUAGUUGUCAGAUGUUUGCAAUUGUUCCUUGCUUUCUGAUCUGACAAGGACAACUACCUGAUCGUUGAUCCUAUGGCUUGCUUUUCUAUAUUUCUUGCACUAGCAAUUCUAUAGAACAGAUAAAAGUACUGAUUAGUGCUCAAUAAUCGAUAAAUCCGUAAACAGAAUUAGUUCAUCCUUCAUUGAAAAGCAAUUCAAAAAGAAGGGGGGCACUAUGAGAGUUUCUUGCAAUAGCAGUAUUCUGAAUUUUUUUUGCAAAUUUUGAGAAUGCAUGCUUUUCAAAAUGACUGUCUUUUUAUAUGAAGGACUAGCCAAACUUGUAUGCUGCUACCUCCCUUGUCUCCUGCAGAAUCAGAAUCAUGCCAUUGCCUAUUAAAAAUUUGAUUCUCAUCCACUUAUUCACUGCUCCUCUCAAGCCAUUUCAGAUUUCCUACGCAAUACAUAGAACAAAAUAUAGGAAGACAGAAAUGGCAAUGGCCAUGAAAUUAAAACACACGUACACGGCGCUGUAGGGGCGGGGCGGGGGUGGGGGGGGUGUGGGUGUAGCGAGCUGCUACAAAGCCUAACAGCUAAGAAAUGUGAUCGUCACUGACAUCAGCCUGUAAGCAUAUACACCCAUGUUGGUCUGGGACCAAUAGGAGCUUUGGUUUUCUUAAACAGUCCUAAUACAACUCUAUACAUCAAAAAUAAGAAAACAGACCAAAGAUGUGAACUCGUUACAUCAUAUUAUACAUUACGGCACUCAAAGUUCCACAAGACAUGUUAGAUAGUGAGUUUAAGAUGGCCACGCUCUAAAACAUUAACUAAUAGAAACAGUGAACUAACACACAUAUUAAAAAUAAGAGUAAAUUACAAAAACCUCCUUGAGGUUUACGUUCAUUACACAUAUACCCAAUAGUUUGUAAAAUCUACACUUACACCCACUUAAAUUAACGGCGUUAGUAAAAUUAUUUACCUCAUGUGAAAAAUCAAAAUUGCCUUUAGGUGGAAAGAAGGAUACACACAUUUUCUUAUAUCCUUGGGUAUUUGUUAUGUCACUUAAAAUUAUUUUGGUCAUUUUUGAAAUUUUUUUUAAUGUGGUAUUUGGGUCCUAUUUAAGGUUAAUGAUUUGACUAGCGUCCUGUUAAGUUAUGGGUUAGAGUGUUAGAUAAAAAUAAACCUCAGAGGUAAGCAUAAGUUUUUCAAACUAUUGGAUGUAAGUGUAAUUUUCCACUAAUCUCAAGGGGGUUUGUAAUUUACUCUAAAAAUUAAAAUCAACUGGAAGACCCAUUUUCUAAUUAAAGAAUGUGAUGCACAUACAUUUCAAACUUUGGAAAUAUUAGGAAAGCAGUCCAUUCAGUUAGCUUAAAAUUCCACAAGACAUGUUACAUAUCUAGGGCACUCAUACAUCAUAUUAUAGAUUAGGGCACUUAGUACAUCAUAUUAUAUGUUGGGGCACUCAAAAUUCCACAAGACAUGUGAGAUAGUGGAUUUAAGAAGGCCAGGCUCCUAAAACAUUAAUUAGCAGACAGUGUGUGAACUGACACACAUACUAAAAACAAAAUCAAUAGGAAGAUCCAUUUUCUGAUUAAAAAAAGUGAUGCACAUACAUUUCCAACUUUGGCAAUAUUAGAAAAGCAAUCUGUUCCUGGAUUUGCUAAUUCAUAAUUCCAAUGGAUCAUUCAACAACCUUCGGUUAGUCAGCUUUUGGUCGAUGUCUAAAUUUAUCUUGUUUAUCCCUUUUUGCUAAUUAAAAGCAGAGAAACAAUUAAUAUAUUCAGGUAAUUACACAUCUAGAAUUACCACUUCAACUCAUCCUAUUUCAUCAGAUCCAAUAUAUAUUUCCAAGGAUGAAAAGCAUAUGCACAUUUUCAAUAUGAUAUCAUUCAUGAACAAGAUUCCAUACUUGGGAUUUUGUUUUUUUUUCAAUCUAUUCAAGACUAUGCCAAACUUUUACCAAAAUGGGUUCAGUUUGAGCUAAAACUCUAAUCUUAGUCGAGCUUAGCUCGUAGGUUUGACCAGAUCUAAAUGUUCCAUUUAGACCACUCACAUAUUUCAAUCUUCAUGACACAAAAAAUGGAAAGUCUCCAGCAUGUGAUUAUCAAAAUUACAGAAAUUGAUUGGUUAAUAUAGUUCGUGAAUAUUUUUGAACACAACAAAUAAAAAAUCAGACCAAAGGUGUCGGACUCAUAACAUCAUAAUGAACAUCGGGUCUCCACAAGAUUUCACAAGGUGAUAUGUUGGACAACAAAACUAAGAUGGCUAGAUUCCUCAAAGGUUGAACAUGCAACAGUAUCAUAAACCUUAACAUGCAACAUUUUCCACAAAGAACAUUGCUAUUUUGAGAAAUAAUUGGUAUUUACUUACUAAUAUUAACAAUGAUAUCCUAGUUAUCCUUCUACUUUUCUAGUUUUCUGUUUUCAUAUAUCAAUUAUAGUGGUCUAAUUAAUUGAUGUAUUUAGUGAAAUCAUUAUCCAAGUAAGGCCUUGUUUGGGGGAGUUGUUGGCAGUAGAGCUUUUGGAAGUAGAGUUUUUAGAAGUAGAGAUUUCUAAAGUAGAGCUUUUAUAAAAAGCUGUUUACUGUUUGGUAACUACAUUUCCAAAGUACUGUGCCACUUUAACAUGUGUUUGGUAAAUAAACUAAAAAAGUAUUUUUGGCAUGACAAAAUGACUAUAAAGAAUAUUACAUAGUAUUAUUCAACAGAGCAUAAUAACAUACAAUACAUAAAUAUAUGAUAUAAUAUAAUAUUACUGUAAUGUAAUAUAAUAUUAUUAUAAUAUAGUAAUAUAAUAUUGUAUACUAUAGCAUAAUAAUUUAAUAUAAUAUUAAAUUAUUUAACAUAACAUAUCAAUAUAUUAUGAUAUAAUGUAAUAUAAUAUUAUAUUUAUAGUAUAGUACAAUAAUAAAGAUAUAAAAUAUUAUAAUUAUUAGCAUAAAGUAAUUUUUCAUAAUAUAACAAAUUUUCUAGCUAGGUGAUAAAUUGGUUACGAUUAUUAAAGGGACAUUUUUAAUAAUUGUUAUAUUUUAUCACGGGUAUUUUGAUCAAAAAAAUAGCUUUUCGACCAGGCCUAAAAGUGCUUUUCCGAAAAGCUCCAAAAUAAAGCUUCUUCUAAAAAGCUAUUUGAGAAUCAUAAUGUUAUUUUGAUGUUUACAAAAUCAUGAAGGCCAUAUGGAAGUACCAAUGCUAUUAACAAACUUAAUCAAGUAAAUAGACACUCAAGGAAGAGAGAAGUGAUAUAUUCUCGAUACAUCCUACAAUUUCGAUACAUUCAUAAUACACUCAUCUACUAUGUUCAAAAUGACCUUCAAGAAUUCAUCCAAAGAUAAUUCUAUUAGAAGAACUUGAGAGAAUCUAAUUUUCAUUUUGACAAAAUUAAUAGUGAAGUUUUCUUGAUAAGGGGUAAUUCCGUCUUUUUUGUUAGUUAAAGAGAUGAAACUUGAAUGUGCCAUUCAUCCUAAAUUAAUUGGAAUAUCUUUUUAUUGCUUUAAUGUGCUAAACUAACCUUAAAGUGUAGAUAAACAGGGUUAGAGUCGACCCCAUGUAGUUUGGAGUCGACUCUAAUAUAUUUGGCAUGCCUUGGCACAAUGCGGCACACCCUUGAAACACUUGACACAGGUUUGGAGUCGACCUCAGAAGAAAUGGAGUCGACCCUGGCACAAUUUGGCACAAUCUAGCACAAAUGGCACAGAGCUCGGGCCAACUCCAAGAAAACAUGAGUCGUCCUCAGGUUGAGUCGACCCCAGAAAAGCAUGAGUCGACCCGAGCCUAAAGAGUUAGAAAAAUAAGUCUCUGAAAUUCCUGAGAGGGCCGGCCACAGAUAAGCUUGAGUCGACCCCACUGUAGCUCGAGUUGACCCCAAGAAAAGUUGAGUCGACCCCAGCCUAAAGAGUCAGAAAAAAAUAAGUCUCUGGAAUUCCUGAAAGGGCCGACUCCAGAUAAGCUUGAAUCGACCCCACUGUAGCUUGAGUCGACCCCAAGAAAAGUUGAAUCGACCCCAGCCCAAAAUGUCAGAAAAACAAGGUUCUGAAAUUUCUGAAAGGGCCGACCCCAGCCAAGUUUGAGUCGACCCCAGAAAAAUGAGCCGACCCCAAUCUGUGGAACAGUAACUCGGGUCGACCCGAGCAAAAGCACGACUGAUAGCAUAACGUCUAGUUAUGCAAAAGUACAAUUUGAGUAUUCAACGGCUAGAAAUGGCUAGUUACUCUAUUCCAACAGCUAGGGAGUGAUCAUUUGAGGUUGAAGAAGUAUUUAAGAGGCACUAUUCAUCGGGGGAAAAACCUUUUGCAAAAAUCAAGAGUGCAUUCAAGAGAAAAGAAAGUCGAAGUGUUCUUCAUUAAUUUGUUUCAUUCAAAUUCUAAAAGAAGGUGGUUGAGCAGUCUUCAAGUAUCUUCAAGAGCUCCACCAACUCCUUAAGAAGUGAAGCAAUAUUGGCAAAGAAGAGAAGAGCAAUCUACAAAAGCGAUAAAUAUUCUUUUACCUCUUCUUUAAGUGCAUUAUUGUAUUACUUGCUCAUUUAGGAGCUUUAAACUUCUUCUCUACUUAUUCUUUGUAAGGUUUGUCGGUGAGCCCGUAAAACCAACGGUGUAGGUUGUUGGUGAGCCCGUAAAACCAACGAUUAGGUUAUUGGUGAUCCCGUAAAACUAAUUGUAGGAUUUUUGGAUUGUGAACCCGGCAAAACAAUCCAACUGUAAUCCGCAGGAUUAUAGUGAAUUCCCAAAGGAACGCUUUAGGAGUGAAUGUAGGUACUUUGGAGAGCACCGAACCACUAUGUUUCUUGUGUGUUUGCAUUGUGUUUUUUUUGGUUCCACUGCACAUAUAUAAUUAACACAAGCUAAACUACUCAUACAUCUAUCAACUAAAUUAAGGUCCUAAAAACUUGGAAAACCCAAUUUACCCCCCUCUUAGGUUGUUAUCUUGGGCAACAAGUGGUAUCAGAGCAGGUGCUCUUGUAUUAAUUGUUGAUAUAACAAUCAAGAGCCAAAAAUUAUGACAACUCAUAUUGGUAGCUCUCUAUCCGAGGAACAAUCAACAAAUAGACCACUCCUAUUUAAUGGCACUAAUUACACGUAUUGAAAAGCACGAAUGAGAAUAUUUAUACAAGCACUAGAUUAUGACAUAUGGAGAAUCAUAAUCGAAGGACCACACAUACCCACCAUUAGCAUAGAUGGCAUGGUCAUCCCUAAGCCACAAAAGGAAUGGGAUGAUAAUGAUAAGAGGAUGGCUCAACUUAAUGCAAAAACCAUGAAUGUCCUCUAUUGCUCACUUAAUGCAAAUGAGUUUAAUAGAAUAUCAACAUGUAAUUCAGCUAAGAAAAUUUGGGAUAGAUUAGAGGUUACACAUGAAGGCAAAAAUCAAGUUAAAGAAUCCAAGAUAAAUAUGCUAGUACACAAAUACGAACUAUUUAAAAUGAAAUCCUCUGAAAGUAUAAUUGAAAUGUUUACAAGAUUCACAUAAUCAAUGGUCUCAAAAGCUUAGGCAAAUCUUAUUCUAACUCUGAAUUGGUACGCAAAAUUCUCAGGUCUCUACCGCGUAUGUAGGAGGCCAAGGUGACUGCAAUUCAAAAGGCCAAGGACCUCAAUACAUUUCAGCUAGAAGAGCUUCUAGAGUCCCUCAUGACCUAUGAGCUGACAAUGAAGCAAAACUCUGAAGAAGUCAAGAAAAAGAAGAUAAUUGCCUUGAAGUCCAUGAGUCAGAUGAGUCCAAUGAUGAAGAAGGGUACGAUGAAGAAGAAGUAGCGAUGCUUGCCAAGAAAUUCAGAAAAUUCAUAAGAAAUAAGAAAGGACUUCAUAAAAGGAAGCCAUUCUCCAAAGGCAGCACUAGCAAAGAAAAGAGUAAGAACAAAGAAAAGGAAAGAAAAGUGCCAAUCUGUUAUGAAUGCAAUAAGCCCGGGCACUUCAAAAUAGAUUGUCCACAAUUAAAAUGGAUGGCAAGGAAACUCAAGAAAAAAGCUCUCACGGCUGAAUGGAGUGAGGGUAAGGAAUCAAACUCAGAAGAGAAAGAUCAGCAACAUACAGCUCAAUUGUGCUACAUGGCAAACGACGAUCAGGUAGAUGCUGAACUUGAUUGUGACUUUACUGUAAAUGAAUUGCAUGAUGCUUUUCUAGACCUAAUGAAAAAACACAAGAAACUAAUUCACAAAAACAAAUGUUAAAGAAUGAAAAUCAGACUCUUAUGGAAGAAAAAUUAAAACUAUCUAAUAAUCAUGAAACUUUAAGUAAGGAAUUAACUCAUGAAACUGAAAAAUUAAUUAAAGAAAACAGUGAACUAAAGAGAGAUGUUGAAAAAUAUAAAUCUUUAGUAGAUAAAUUCACACUCAGCUCAACAAAAAUUGAAUAUGAUCUUAGAUAGUCAAAGAGCCGUUUACAAUAAAGCAAGAUUAGGUUAUGAACAAAUAGUAAAUAAAAACAUCUAAAGAACUUGUUUGUUAAAUCCAAAAAUGAAAACAUAAUAUGUUAUUGUUGUAACAAAAUAGGGCAUAAAGACUAUGAAUGUGAUUUUAGAAAACUUAACUAUAACAACAAAUUAAAUGAAAAAAGCAAACCAAGAUUUAAGAAAAUUUGGAUUCCAAAAGGAACGAUAACUACUAACCCUAAAGGACCCAACAUAGUUUGGGUACCUAAAAUGGAUCCUUAAUUUUGCUUACAUGUAUGUCUUACAACCAAUGAGAAGAAUCGACUAUGGUAUCUAGAUAGUGGUUGUUCAAGACAUAUGACAGAUGAUAAGGAUCAAUUCAUCACCGUGGAAUCUAAAGAUGGUGGAGUGGUAACCUUUGGUGACAAUGGCAAAGGUCACAUUAUUGGAAAGGGUAAAAUCCGUAUCACUCCAUCUACGUUUAUCGAUUAUGUUUUGUUGGUUGAUGGUCUAAAACAUAACUUGCUAAGCAUAAGUCAAUUUUGUGAUAAAAGUUUUGAAGUCUCUUUCAAGUCUUCAGCGUGUAUAAUCACUAGUCCCAAAGACAAUAGUAUAGUACUCAUAGGACAUAGGCAUGGAAACAUUUACAUUGUAGACCUUGAUGAUCUAGCCAAGAAGAAUGGAUUAUGCCUAAUUGCCAAUGAGGAUAAGAUAAGUGAAACUAGUUGACUAUGGCACCGAAGACUAGGUCAUGCUAGUAUGGAAUUAAUUUCAAAAUUAGUCAAAAAGAAGUUAGUGAAAGGUUUACUAAAAUUGACUUAUGAAAAAAAUAAAAUUUCUAGUGCAUGUCAAUUGGGUAAACAAACAAGGUCAUCUUUCAAAUCUAAGAACAUAGUCUCAACUACUAGACCAUUACAGCUCAUCCACAUGGAUUUAUUUGGACCAACUAGAACUGCAAGUUUAGAAGGCAAAAAGUAUGGACUAGUAAUUGUAAAUAAUUUUUCAAGAUAUACAUGGAUGUCAUUCCUUGCACAUAAAAAUGAAGCGUUUUCAGCCUUUUGAAAUAUUACAAAAAUGUUAUAACUGAAAAGAACAUCACUUUAAUCUCAAUUCGUAGUGAUCAUGGAACCGAAUUUGAAAAUCAACACUUUGAGAAUUUUGUAAUGAAAAUGAAAUUUCUCAUCAAUUUUUAGCUCCUAGAAUGCCUCAACAAAAUGGGGUUGUUGAAAGGAAGAAUAGGACCUUCGUAGAAAUGGCUCGCACUAUGCUAUGCGAGUCAAAUCUUCCAAAAUACUUUUGGGCUGAAGCUGUAAACACCUCCUGCAAUAUCUUAAACCGUGUUUUAAUUCGUCCAAUAACAAAGAAAACUCCCUACGAACUUUGGAAGAAUAAGAAACCAAUUGUCAAAUAUUUUCGAGUUUUUGGUUGUAGAUGCUAUAUUUUAAAUAAUGGCAAGGAGAAUUUAAGUAAAUUUAAUGCCAAGUCAGAUGAGAGUAUCUUCUUAGGAUACUCUACAUCUAGCAGGGCAUACAGAGUCUUCAACAAGAGCUCUAUGGUUGUUGAAGAAUCAAUCAAUGUUAUAUUUGAUGAAACUAAUAGUGAGUCCUCUAGGAAAGAAAGUGUUUUUGAUGAUGAUACAAAAACGUUCGAGCUUGAGAAGUUAACCAUUCAUGAUACACCGACUCAUGAACAAGAAGAUACAUCAAAGAAAGAUGAGGAAGAAAAGGAAGAUGAUCAUAGUUCACCACAGCAUCAGGACCUACCUAAAGAAUGGAGGUAUGCACAUGGACACCCCAAAGAUUUAAUAAUAGGUGAUCCAUCACAAGGGAUAAGAACUCGAUCCUUCCUAAGAAAUAUUAAUAACUAUCUUGCCUUUGUAUCUCAAAUAGAGCCUAAAACUUAUGAAGAAGCGGAAUAUGAUAUAAAUUGGAUCAAUGCUAUGCAAGAAGAAUUGAAUCAAUUUAAAAGAAAUAAUGUAUGGACAUUAACUGAAAGACCUAAAAACAAAACCAUCAUUGGAACCAAAUGGGUUUUUAGAAACAAACUUGAUGAAAAUGGAAUAGUAACCAGGAACAAGGCUAGGCUAGUGGCUAAAGGUUAUAAUCAAGAAGAAGAAAUUGACUUUGCGAAAACUUUUGCCCCAGUUGCUAGGUUAGAAGCUAUUAGAUUACUACUUGUAUUUGUUUGUUUUAUAGAUUUUAAAUUAUAUCAAAUGGAUGUAAAAAUGCCUUUCUAAAUGGUUACAUAACAAAGGAAGUAUAUGUAGAACAACCUCCUGGUUUUGAAGAACAUGUAUUUAAAUUGCAUAAGGCACUAUAUAGUUUGAAACAAGCUUCUAGAGCCUGGUAUGAUAGAUUGAGUAAAUUCUUGCUAGAUAAUAAGUUCAAUAGAGAAAAUGUAGAUAAAAUACUAUUCAUUAAGAGAAAAGAUAAAAAUCUUCUUGUAGUGCAAAUAUAUGUAGUAAUGUAGAUGACAUAAUAUUUGGUGCUACUGACUAUUCUUUGUGCAAAAAGUUUGCUAAGUUAAUGCAGGGUGAGUUCGAGAUGAGCAUGAUGGGAGAACUCAAUUUCUUCCUCGAAAUCCAGAUCAAGCAAACUAAGAAAGGGAUCUUCAUUCACCAAACUAAAUAUACAAGAAAAAUCCUCAAGAAGUUUGGGAAAGAAAAUUACAAGGAAAUGGAAACUCCGAUGAAUUCUACUAGUAAGUUGGAUAAAGAUAAAAAAGGUAAGAGCAUAGACACUAAAAUUAAUAGAGGUAUGAUUGGAUCCUUACUUUAUCUUACUGCUAGUAGGCCUGAUAUUAUGUUUAGUGUUGGAAUGUAUGCUAGAUAUCAGUCUAAUCCUAAAGAAUCACAUUUAUCUGCUGUUAAAAGAAUUCUUAGGUAUCUAAGAAGUACAAGUAGCAUAGGAUUAUGGUACUCUAGAGAUUCUUGUUUUGAACUUAUUGCAUACUCAGAUGCUGACUUUGCUGGAUGCAGACUAGAUAGAAAAAGCACUAGUGGAGCAUGUCAAUCCUUAGGUGCUAAUCUAGUCUCAUGGUUUAGCAAAAAGCAGAAUUUAGUUGCACUAUCAAUGGCUGAGGCCGAGUACAUUGCAGCUGGAAGUUGAUGUGCUCAAGUAUUAUGGCUUAAGCAACAAUUAGAGGAUUAUGGAAUUAAGCUUGAUAAGAUUUUCAUAAAAUGUGAUAACACAAGUGCAAUCAAUUUAACCAAAAAUCUAGUUCAACACUUUAGAGCAAAACAUAUUGAAAUAAGAUAUCACUUCAUAAGAGAUCAUGUGCAAAAUGGAAAUAUAAAUAUUGAACAUGUAUGCAUGGAAAAGCAAUUGGCUGAUAUAUUUACAAAACCUCUUAGUGAAGAUAGAUUUUGCAUGCUUAGGAGAGAAUUAGGAAUAGAUGAUCCUUUUGCAUAACAAGGUCAAAUGUUUCAUGAUACGCUCCUCUCAUCUCCUAAAUUCUGUGAAACAUUGGUAAAAUGUUUGAUUUAGAGCUUCCUCUCAUGAAUAUCAUUGACCUAUGAAAAUUUGGUAAAAAUCAGAAGAGUAAAAAAUCAUUAAAAAGAAAAUUUUGUUUUUGGCCUGACCUCGGGUCGACCCGAGGUCCUAGAGAGGUCGACCCGACUCACAAGGGCGGCCCAAUACAUCUGGGGGCCUAAGGCGAAUUCAGUAAAUGGGGUCUCUUUUUUUAAAUAAUAAAUUUUUUUAAUAAAUAUAAAAUACUUAAAAAAAUGUUAUGGAAAUAGAUUGCUGUCAAGUACACUAUUUCAACAAAGAUGCAUGAAUCUAAUAAAGGUAGACAAAAAGUCUCUUCAGUUUAAUAUAAUUUUUGAAUAAAAAUAUUAAAAAAAAUACUUAAAAAAAAGGGCCCAUGAAACUGUUCUUGGCAAUACUGUUUACCAUGUGAAGCGAGAGCAAGGAAAAGGCCAUCCCAUGGCGCUUCACGGUCAAAGAAUUUGUCCAGAAAGGGACCUCUCUAUAAGAGAAAGUAGGGUCAUUAUGGGAAAUUCACUCCAUCUAAUUAAUAAAAGUCCCAUCCUACCAUCUCCCCUUNNNNNNNNNNNNNNNNNNNNNNNNNNNNNNNNNNNNNNNNNNNNNNNNNNNNNNNNNNNNNNNNNNNNNNNNNNNNNNNNNNNNNNNNNNNNNNNNNNNNNNNNNNNNNNNNNNNNNNNNNNNNNNNNNNNNNNNNNNNNNNNNNNNNNNNNNNNNNNNNNNNNNNNNNNNNNNNNNNNNNNNNNNNNNNNNNNNNNNNNNNNNNNNNNNNNNNNNNNNNNNNNNNNNNNNNNNNNNNNNNNNNNNNNNNNNNNNNNNNNNNNNNNNNNNNNNNNNNNNNNNNNNNNNNNNNNNNNNNNNNNNNNNNNNNNNNNNNNNNNNNNNNNNNNNNNNNNNNNNNNNNNNNNNNNNNNNNNNNNNNNNNNNNNNNNNNNNNNNNNNNNNNNNNNNNNNNNNNNNNNNNNNNNNNNNNNNNNNNNNNNNNNNNNNNNNNNNNNNNNNNNNNNNNNNNNNNNNNNNNNNNNNNNNNNNNNNNNNNNNNNNNNNNNNNNNNNNNNNNNNNNNNNNNNNNNNNNNNNNNNNNNNNNNNNNNNNNNNNNNNNNNNNNNNNNNNNNNNNNNNNNNNNNNNNNNNNNNNNNNNNNNNNNNNNNNNNNNNNNNNNNNNNNNNNNNNNNNNNNNNNNNNNNNNNNNNNNNNNNNNNNNNNNNNNNNNNNNNNNNNNNNNNNNNNNNNNNNNNNNNNNNNNNNNNNNNNNNNNNNNNNNNNNNNNNNNNNNNNNNNNNNNNNNNNNNNNNNCCCUCCUCUCUCUCUCUCUCCACCUAAAACAAAACUACUAUCCCCAACUUCCCCAAUUGCCCCUCUGCAGGCCAGGAAACCCUCCACCUCCCUUCCAUCGGGGGAAGACUCGUAGCCAGCUUCUGCUCCCGGAGGCCUUCCAUUGGCCCGGGGCCUUAGGCGACCGCCUCGGUCGCCUAGGGCUCGGGCCGGCCCUGCCGACUCACGCCGACCCAAGCAAAAGCUGGGGUCGACCCGACUCGAGCCGACCCAAGCAAAAGCUGGGGUCGCCUCGACGGCGGGUCCCUCAUUUUUUAGGGCCGGCCGAAAGCUCAUUUUGGGGGCUAUUCUCAUUCCUAAACUUCUAGAAACCCUAUUUCCUCUCCUCCAUUCACCUCCAAUCACCAGUAAAACCUCAUUCCACCCUCUCCCAAGCCGUUAGAUCAAGUUGCAAGGAAGGUUUUGGUGAAAAUGGGACCCAAACGAGCCGUGGCCAAGCGAUCUAAGAGAGUAACACGCCCAUCUACAGUUGAAGAGGAAGUUAGAAGGUCACCUACAGUUCCUCCACAAGCUAGACCUCGUGUGGAGCCUCCCCAACCCUCUUCCCCUUCGGUUUUGCUUGCCAAGUAUGCGGGGAGACCGGUCACAACAAGUAGACGCAUAAAUUUUGACUUUUUGGAUCAAGAGGAAUUUAGAUUGCGUAGAUGGAUCCAACAGGAAUGGGAGUACCUCUGCUCCCUAGAUCUACAGACCUACCCGAGAUUAGUCCGUGAGUUUUAUGCUUUCCUACGGGUCGGUGCGGGAGGGCUCGUGUCCGAGGUACGUGGGGUUCAGAUCCAUGUUACUGAGGAGAGCCUAGGACAUCUGCUCCAUCUCCCAUGUGAGGGUGCCAUACCAGAUAGACCAAAGGACAGGAUUAGAGCUCUACAGAUGAUCAUGGAGAGAGAUGAGAUAGACUAUUCUGAUGAUCUGGUAGCUAGUUUCUUCUCAGCUGAGAUGAGAUUGCUUCACAACUUUAUAGGUCGAAUACUGUUUCCGAAUAGCGGGAGAUUCGACCAUGUGUCUGAGAGAGAUUUGGCAAUUAUGGAGCAUGUUAUUCAGGGCAUUCCCCUGAAUCUCCUGGUGAUGAUGAUCAGACAGAUGCGUGAGGCCGUGACUAGGGCGAGGGCUUCUUUACCCUAUGGCAUGGUACUCCCACUGAUUUUUAGACAGUAUGACAUAUGUCUAGUAGGAGAGAUCUCCAGAGAUUUAUUGCAUAUCGACACCUACACUGCACUCACUUAAGCGCAUGGGGUACGAGAAGCUGAAUGGUCACUGGGUGCGCGGAGGUGCAGGGCCACAGGCACCAGAGCCUGGUAUACCAGAGCCCAGAGACUUCAUUCCAGAGCCCGAGAUGCCUGCUGACCAUCCUUCAUCACAUGCAGAGGCAGGACAGUUAUCUUCUGCACCUACUGGAUACACAGAGGAGUACUGGAGUAGGAUGACUGAGAUGGUAUCAGCUCAGAUGAUGAGUCUCUCCGAUAGGAUGAUGAGUCAGUCAGACAGUAUUACGGCUGAGAUUAGGAGAGUAUCCACUCAGGUGACGAGCCUCUCGGAUCGGAUGACUACUUUAGAGAGAGAGUUCCCUGGUCCCCCUGGAGCUCGAGCAGCUGAGUCAGAGGUCUCAGCACAGAGCCAGCCAGUUCAUAGGGCUCACAGACCAUCCCAUUCGUAUCAGACCAUACCUCCUCUCGCCACUUACACUAGGAGAUCUAGAGCCAAGUCACAGCCUUUGGAUGCCUCUAGGCCUACUGAUAGCACUACAGGAGCACAUUUAGACUAGUCCCUAGAGACGUUCUAGUUCUCUAUGUAUUUUGCCUUUUGUUGAUUGUAAACAAUGUUAUCUUUUAUGGCAUUUUGAAUUUCUAGAACAUUGUAAUUUUGGCUUUUAUAAAAUACAAUGUCUUCUUUUGAAUUAUGAUCUUUGUCAUUGGCAUGCUAUUCACCUUUGUAUUAUAUAUUCUUUUUGAUGAUGACAAAAAGGGGGAGAAAGAUAUAAGAAAAGGGAGAAACAUAUAAGAGAGAAAUAUAUGAAAGAUACUCUAUAAGACUCUAUAAGAAAGAAAAAUAUGAAGAAAUUAUAAGGAGAAAAAUAUAGGAAAGGAUAUCUAUAUUUAAGGGGGAGAAUAUUGACAACAUGCAAAUCUGAAUUUUCAUUAAAUAAACAUCUGAAUUUUGAAAUUUCGAUACAUGAGAAUUCAUAAUACAUAACUUAUGGUACAUGGAAACUCACAAUGUAUAAGUCUAGAUAUUCAAGAAGGUAUGAUACAUAAGCUUUUGGCACACAACUAUAGAAAGUUUCAUUGCCUCGAUAUAUAACUUGAAAUUCUUAAUUUGGCAUAAAUCCUUGAAAAUUUUGACUCAAUGAAACAUAAGAGAAAGGGGGAGUAAAGCUAAAACAAAUUUGGCAUCAAUAUGAAUAAGAUAGGGGGAGCUCUUGGUUCUUUGAUACAUACUCCAAAAUUAGACUAUUUUGAAAAUCUUGAAUCAAAAGCAUCCUAUGAUGUUAAAUCAAAUUUUUCUUAUGAAUGGCAAAUUGACCAUAAGUAAUGUUUUGUAAUCAUCAAAAAGAGGAAGAUUGAGAAUCAUAAUAUUAUUUUGAUGUUUACAAAGCCAUGAAGGCCAUAUGGAAGUACCAAUGCUAUUAACAAACUUAAUCAAGUAAAUAGACACUCAAGGAAGAGAGAAGUGAUACACUCUCGAUACAUCCUACAAUCUUGAUACAUUCAUGAUACACUCAUCUACUAUGUUCAAAAUGACCUUCAAGAAUUCAUCCAAGGAUAAUUCUAUUAGAAGAACUUGAGAGAAAAUCUAAUUUUCAGUUUGACCAAAUUAAGAGUGAAGUUUUCUUGAUAAGGGAUAAUUCCGUCUUUUUGUUAGUUAAAGAAAUGAAACUUAAAUGUGCCAUUCAUCCUAAAUCAAUUAGAAUAUCUUUUUAUUGCUUUAAUGUGCUAAACUAACCUUAAAGUGUAGAUAAACAGGGUUAGAGUCGACCCCAUGUAGUUUGGAGUCGACUCUGAUACAUUUGGCACGCCUUGGCACAAUGUGGCACAUCCUUGAAACACUUGGCAUAGGUUUGGAGUCGACCCCAAAAGAAAUGAAGUCAAUCCUGGCACAAUUUGGCACAAUCUGGCACAACUGGCACAAAUGGCACAGAGCUCGGAUCGAUCCUAGGAAAGCAUGAGUCGACCUCAGGAAAGCAUGAGUCGACCCCAGCCUAAAGAGUCGGAAAAAUAAGUCUCUGAAAUUUCUGAGAGGGCCGACCCCAAAUAAGCUCGAGUCGACCCCACUGUAGCUCGAGUCGACCCCAAGAAAAGUUGAGUCGACCCCAGCCCAAAAUGUCAGAAAAACAAGGUUCUGGAAUUCCUAAGAGGGCCGACCCCAGCCAAGCUUGAGUCGACCCCACUGUAGCAGGAGUCGACCCCAAAAAAAUAUGAGCCGACCCCAAUCUGUGAAACAGUAACUCGGAUCAACCCGAGAUUUGCUCGGAUCGACCCCAACACAACUGACAGCAUAACGGCUAAUUCUGCAGAAGUACAAUUUGAGUCUUCAACGGCUAGAAACGGCUAGUUUCUCCAUUCCAACAGCUAGAAAGUGAUCGUUUGAGGUUAAAGAAGUAUUUAACA